rnacentral:rRNA from 1 species
UACGGGAGGCAGCAGUGGGGAAUAUUGGACAAUGGGCGAAAGCCUGAUCCAGCCAUGCCGCAUGAGUGAAGAAGGCCUUCGGGUUGUAAAGCUCUUUUAGUGAGAAAGAUAAUGACGGUACUCACAGAAGAAGUCCUGGCUAACUCCGUGCCAGCAGCCGCGGUAAUACGGAGAGGGCUAGCGUUAUUCGGAAUUAUUGGGCGUAAAGAGCGCGUAGGCUGAUUAGUAAGUUAAAAGUGAAAUCCCAAAGCUUAACUUUGGAAUUGCUUUUUAAAACUGCUAGUCUAGAGAUUGAAAGAGGAUAGAGGAAUUCCUAGUGUAGAGGUGAAAUUCGUAAAUAUUAGGAGGAACACCAGUGGCGAAGGCGUCUAUCUGGUUCAAAUCUGACGCUGAGGCGCGAAGGGCGUGGGGAGCGAAACAGGGA